rfam:Dipodomys ordii contig_30745, whole genome shotgun sequence.
GGGAAUGUGGCUUAGUGGUAGAGUGCUUGUCUAGCAUGCAUGAAGCCCUGAGUUCGAUUUCUCAGUGCUGCAA